AAAGUACUCCCUCCUUCCCAAAAUUCUUGUCUUAGAUUUGUCUAGAUACGGAUGUAUCAAGUCACAUUUUAGUAUUAGAUACAUCUGUAUCUAGACAACUCUAAGACAAGAAAUUUGGGACAGAGGGAGUAGUUG
rfam:Triticum urartu cultivar G1812 contig1166288, whole genome shotgun sequence.